ACAGGUUGGAAGAAUUGAGAAACAGAACGAUUUCAUGAGGAUGAUUUACUGCCGAGAAAAUCCAGAGGCAUCACUAAAUUCUGGAAAAACAAGUAACAAAUCAUGUACUGAAGUGUAAUGAUUGGUGCCACUGCCUCACUCAGCAUCUAUGUCAUUACAUUUUGCCAUUACCCAGGGGAUUUUACUGCUGCUGCAAAAUUCUCCAGCUGAAAUUCAUGGAGAGUCCCUACUGACUUAAUUUUGUACAUCUGAGCCCUCCCUUUUCAAUAGAAGAUAUAGUCAGUUCAUCAAGGAAGAGGCAUUCCAAAGCAGAACAAGCACACCUCUGAAGGGACUGUGACCCAUGAAUAACACUUUACUUGAGCUGGUACUCCUCUGAAAUUACUGCAGCCUGUGGAGAACCAGUCCUGGAGCACAGGAAAAAUGCAAAAAGGAAGAAGACAAAAAAAGAAACUAUGUCUUGACCCCAACCCACUGUGCUGCAGAUACUGAGAGAGUUGUUUGCAUGGAAGCAGAGCCUGGCAAUGAAGCUAAACCUGGGAAUGUGGCAAGAAAAGUCCCAGAUGCGUGGUUUUUCAUGACAGUUUCCUGGUGAGAAGGACAAGUGGAUGGAAGGCUGGAUGGAAGGCUUCAGUGGAAAUUUGAGCCUGCAAUGAGUGAAACUGAGCUGAUGAGGGAAGUAAGGCAAAGUGAAAAAUCAAUUCCCCAAAAACCCACGUAAAAGUCAUUAGAAAAAAACUAAAAGUCAAAACAAAUGCAAAUCAGGAGUUCACUUGGUAAAAGAAGCAAGAAGGAUGAGGCUUAUAAAAAUUAAGAGUAACAAAGAACACAACACCUUUUGAAAUGGAGCUCAAAAAAAAAAAAAGAGAUACUGAGAUACAGAGGUGAAAAAGCAGGACAGGGUCAGUCUCUGAAUCUUUCCUUUUAGUGGGAUUUUUCAUGUUUUCCAUAUCAGUGACCUUUUAUAAGCAUUAUGUUUGUAUUUUCCAGAAGGUAAAG